rnacentral:rRNA from 1 species
UACGUAGGUGGCAAGCGUUGUCCGGAUUUACUGGGCGUAAAGAGCGCGCAGGCGGUCGUUCAAGUCGCGUGUGAAAGCCCCCGGCUCAACUGGGGAGGGUCACGCGAUACUGAUCGACUCGAAGGCAGGAGAGGGAAGUGGAAUUCCCGGUGUAGUGGUGAAAUGCGUAGAUAUCGGGAGGAACACCAGUGGCGAAGGCGGUUCUCUGGCCUGUACUGACGCUGAGGAGCGAAAGCGUGGGGAGCAAACAGG